GCACAAGCGGUGGAGCAUGUGGUUCAAUUCGACGCAACGCGAAGAACCUUACCCAGGCUCGAACGGCAGAUGAAAUCCCACGAAAGUGGGCUCCCGCAAGGGCGUCUGUCGAGGUGCUGCAUGGCUGUCGUCAGCUCGUGUCGUGAGAUGUUGGGUUAAGUCCCGCAACGAGCGCAACCCUUGUCCGCUGUUGCCAUCAGGUAAUGCUGGGCACUCUGCGGAGACUGCCGGUGAUAAACCGGAGGAAGGUGGGGAUGACGUCAAGUCAGCAUGGCCUUCAUGUCUGGGGCUACACACGUGCUACAAUGGCCGGUACAAACCGUCGCGAGCCCGCAAGGGGGAGCUAAUCGGAGAAAGCCGGUCUCAGUUCGGAUUGCAGGCUGCAACUCGCCUGCAUGAAGUUGGAAUCGCUAGUAAUCGUGGAUCAGCAUGCCACGGUGAAUACGUUCCCGGGC
rnacentral:rRNA from 1 species